GAGGAAAGUCCGGGCUCCACAGAGCGGAGUGACGGCUAACGGCCGUACGUUGCGAAACGAGGAAUAGGGCCACAGAGACGAGCGUAUUUAGUUACGGUGAAACGCGGUAACCUCCACUCGGAGCAAAGUCAAAUAGGGUAGUAAUAGCACGGCUCGUGCUGCUACCGGGUAGACUGCUUGAGUGCAUGAGUAAUCAUGUGCCUAGAUGA
rnacentral:misc_RNA from 1 species